rnacentral:siRNA from 1 species
GGCUCGGGGGUCCCAGUUCC